AGCUAUAAAGGAAAAAUGCAAAUACCUUGGCCUAUGAUGGUAUGGUGUAAUAGAAUGUAAUAUAAUCAAAUUUUCUAUUGAAAAUUUGAUAGAAUAUUUAAUUACAUACAUUCCAUUACACCCUAUCAAACAUAGCAUUAGAUCUUUAGAAAUCAGAAGUUAAAUUUUCAUUAAUAGUUUUCAUAACAAGAGAAAGAUAUCUUUGAAUAAUUUCUAUUCAUGGCAUUACAAAAAAAUCCGAGAAAAGCCAAAAUUUUCACAAAUACGAAAAGGAACAGUAUUGAAAUGUCAAUCCAAGUAGACAAAAUUCAGAGCAGUAUUAUGAAAAUAAUCUAAUUAUAAAAUAAUCCAACAAACCAUUUCCAUCAUUGACAACAGGCAAAACAAUAAAGAAAACCAAAUAAUAAGUUUAAAAUUCAAAUAAAAAGCUAGUAAUAAACAAAAAGAUGUAAUUUCACUCAUUAAAAUUAAGAGUAGAGCCACAAGAUUACUAAAAUUUCCAUCUGGGGAAGAGUCAACUAACUAUUCUCAUCACAUUAAUACACAACUAUAAUCCACCAAUUGAUUAUAUAGUUCUGUUGCUCCAUAGUUAAAUAUAACAUUAUGGAAAACAUAACGACCAGCAUUUCCCAACUUCUUGUUAGCAAAGUUAUUAAAGACUCAAGGAGCACUAAGGCGCCUAAG
rnacentral:misc_RNA from 1 species